UUAGAAAAUAAUGCUGCUUUAGAAUGAUAUAUAUAAUUGAAGUUAGAAGUCUGCACAUACCUUACUAUUACAUAUAGAAUGAGCAAAUAUUAUUUACAAAUAUGUGGCGGCACUGGACCACGGAGAUUUCCAAUGCCUUUGCGACACAAAGCGCUAUAACUUCAAAGCAUAAGCCAACAUGCUUAAUGUACCAACGAUAUUCCUACGGUUCUUUCGCCGAAUAUUCGGAAGAUUGCAUACGCGGCAACGUCGCGGACAUCUAAUAAACGCAUGCGUAGUGGCGAUAUCGAGGGGCAACCAAGAAAAGAAUCCGAUUGGUUCCGAACCAAAGAUUCAUUCUGCCCCGAGCUGCAAAGUGCGAAAGGUUUAGCGUCAUAGGAAAACAAACAAUUAGAGGUACGUGAUUAUUAACUCUUGAUAAUUAAUCGUUAAUCGUUGAUCGUAAAUUGUUGACUGUUGAUUGUUAAUAGUGUAAUAAACUUUUUUGUUGAACAUCAAGAGUAUUUCUUGUGGGCACCCUCACGAACAAACACCUCAAAUAUCUUGUACACGUUUCAACGAUAUAUUCUGCACGUUUUGCUUACGACGAAGUAACGAAUGCGAAUGGUUUGUUGAAAUAAACGAAGCCUUGUUACAAUAUGUCGCUAUCGACUGUUACCAAAGCGCCACAGAGGUCACCCGUGACCACCACGAAGAUGAACGGUCCAUUGGGGAAGAAUGUUGUCUUACAUCAUUAAUUUAUUAUUAUUCUGCCAUUAUAUGCUUUGAAUAAUAAGAAUACUCCCGUGGCGUCCUGAGCGAAACAUGUGAUUUCGGCGUGGCAGUCAAAGUGUUAACUAUUUAUUUUUAAAAAAUGUAAUCCGGUCUCUUUUUUAUUUCGUUCGGCAUCGUGAACAAAAUGUAGUUUCCGAAGACUAAGGACGUUUGAAAAGAUUUUACAGUCGACGUGGCGUUGCAAGCAGUUGAGGUGUUAACUCUUAUUACAAAAAGGUAACAUUGUAAUCAUUUUGUUCGCGAGACUAAAGAUUUUAUCGCAGCGCGACCCUUCGCGUUUUUAGAUGUUGUAUAGUUUCGCCCUUGGUGCAAGCUUAUCGCAUCGUAGAAACUAGUUUCAGAGGAACAGCCGGUGACCUGGAAACAAAUUCCAGUCAGCAGAAUUUUCAUUACUUUCCAGGGAUACGAUGUUCACGAGCCAACGAGCCUGUCCUGGAAUAAUGGAAUCGCUAGUAUUAAAUUCGCCACGAUACACCGGCCAAAUUACGUCCACCGUGUCUUAUCUUGCAAACGAUCGAGCUAUACUUGCUAUAGUUUCAAGAUAAACUGAGAAACUAAAUCCGCUUUCGAUAAUUAAUUCGACCCUAGGAUUAAUCCACGUCACCAGAAAUACAUCGCUAUAAUCGUGCUAUUAUCAUCUUUCGUCGGUUCUUCCUUUCAAUCUUCCCAUAAUCUUGAUGAUCGUGGCAAGAGAUGACGAAAUAAAAACACCCAUAAUUCCUUUCCUUAUCUUGUCUUGUGUCUUAUCUUUCAAAAACGAACAAACACGCGCGAUCUAUCCUAUCGUUUAACAUCAUGUUUUAUUGAUUCUGAUCCAUUUUCUUCCAAUAGAACAUGCAUCGUAUUAUCUUAUUAAAUUAUGACCCAUUUUGUUCCCAUAGAACACGCAUCAUAUUAUUUUAUUAAAUUAUAGAACACGCAUCAUAUUAUUUUAUUAAAUUAUAGAACACGCAUCAUAUUAUUUUAUUAAAUUAUGAUCCAUUUUGUUUCCAUAGAACACGCAUCAUAUUAUCUUAUCUAAUUAUGAUCCAUUUUGUUCCCAUAUAACAUGCAUCAUAUUAUUUUAUUAAAUUAUGAUCCCUCAUGUUCCAACAGAACAUGCAUCAUAUUACUUUAUCGAAUUAUGUAUGAUCCAUUUUGUUCCCAUAGAACACGCAUCAUGUUAUUUUAUUAAAUUAUGAUCCAUUUCGUUCGCAUAAAACGUGCAUCAUAUUAACUUAUUAAAUUAUGAUCCAUUUUGUUCUCAUAGAACACGCAUCAUAUUAUUUUAACGCAUUAUGUAUGAUCCACUUGUUUCUCAUAGAACAUGCAUCGUACUAUCUUAUUAAAUUAUGAUCCAUUUUGUUCGCAUAGAAUAUGCAUCAUUAUUGUAUCGAAUUAUGUAUGAUCCAUUAUGUUCCAACAGAACAUGCAUCAUGCAUAAUUCGAUAAGAUAAUAUAAAACAAAAAAUGGCAUGCAUCUGUAAUUUCCUUAUGAACCGAAAGAAACUCUUGCGAAGAAAUGUGUGAGACAGUGUGCUCAAAGUAGCGGAAUAUCGCUAAGUUAUGAUAUAUGAAAAUGCAAUAUACGAACCAAUAUAUCAAAUAACGUUCUUCAUAAGAGUUACCAAGAAGAAAUAUAUAGCCUAACCGGUACCAAUGUAACUCGAGCUCGAUGAAGUUGCCACGCCGAAAUGCGAAUUUGUAGAAGAAACAAACAGAACAGUAUUGCUUGACCCGCGAUUCGUCCACGUUUGUUCAAACAAAAUUUUCAUUUGUCUAUCGUUCAAAGGCAAGUUAUCAAAGGAGAAUUAAACAAAAUUUCCUAUCGGCUUCUAUUAUCUUCCCAUUAACUUUUCCAUUAAUUCUUAAGUGGAAUAUGAUUGUUCACGAUUUGUACACGUUCGUUCACCCAGAAUUUUCGUUUGUCUACGCUUCAAAAAAAAAUAAAAGGAAGAAGUUAUCAACCUUUUAAAAUUUUCAUUUAGUCAUAACGUUGUUUUGAAGGAUGGACGAACGAGAAAAUUUAUCCAUCCGGUUGAACGAACUUGAACGAACGAAUACAGUUUUUUUUUUUACAAAAAUUCGCAUUUGGAGAAGCUAAUUUCACCCGGCUUGCCACUGGGACUUCCUUAUCACCAGGAAACAGUAUUCAAUUACGCUGAUAGUAUCGGCAAAUACGAACCAUCUAUCCACUACGCAUAAAACGAAGAAAGCCAUAUCAAAUUUUGCAAGCUUUCUCGCCUAAUAACUUUUGAACUGGAAGAUUGCUAAAGUUCAACUGUAUUCUACAAAUAUACUACUCUCAGUAAAUACAAGAUUCGAUCAAAAUAAUUGCCGUCCCAGAGACAAGAUUCACGUAGAAACGUAAUUAAGUAUUUUCAUUAAUUAUCAUUUUAAUUAUUAUCGUUCAAAUCGUAAUAAUUUACUAUAUAUUGAAUAUCUAGGUACGUAUCGUAAAUAGGCAAUUCUAGCGUUAAAUCUGCCAUUUAAUUCGUGGCGGGCAGAUGAGCUCGUUAUUUUCAGGAAUGAGUGCCUUCCAACAAGGCGGAUGUUCCUGCACACGCGGAAUCCACGUGCAAUUUACACGUGAAGAUUUGCAGGCGCGUACAUUUAGAACAAAGAAUGAUGUCAUCAUUCGCGCGUCCAGAGACAAAGCCGUGCAUACCAUUGUCAACGUCGUAAAUACACCAUGAAAUCGUGGAAAGAGCAGCACUUUCGUCAGAGUCGUUUACUCGUCGCUAUACAGACGCUUUCAUCAUGCCAUUUGAUCGAUAAAAUAGAAGAUCUGUCACGAUAUCCGGAAAAAUCAGUCUUCGAAGACUCAACGUUGUGCAGUUUGCAUAAAAGUCAAUCUUAACGAUUUACCGACCGCUAGCGAUUCAACAGCAUACGCACGUCCCUCCCUGAUUCUCCGUGGCGCCGGCUCUGUUUCGGUUUAGACUCUCCAAUAUCAUUCUUUUCGUUCGUCGUGAACGGUAAGUUUCUCAAAUUGGCAUAAAACUGUGGGACUUUACAAAGCAAGGCAACUGACGCAACUGAGCAAGGUACCUUAGUACUAAAUAACAAAUUACUGCUUAAAUAAUGAGAAAGAUUAUCGGUGACAAAAAGCCGAUUAAUAGGCUAUCGGUCGGUAAAGUGUUAAGUUGAUUAGAACAGACGCUACGCUUUGACGUUAGCUACAAAGCCGGGAAGCGAUGUUAUUGGUAAUUUUACGAAAACGUUUCUUCAGAAAGCUGUCUUAUGCUGACGCUAAUACUUGACCUGUUAUCAUUCUAUUAGGUGGUCCGAAAAGUUUCUUUCGUUUUAUAAGGAAAUAGUGGAUGCGCAACAUUUUCCGCUUUAUAUUAUUUUAUCCAAGAUAAAGAUUACAACGUUCGACAGGUUAGGUUUCAUGUUUGUAUAAAGGUGCGUUGUUGUAAAAGACGGGUCUGUAAAAGAAGGACACUUUUCGGACAACCUAAUACUAUUAUCGCUAAUUGAUAAAAUAAUUUUGCCGCUGUUACCCCGAACAUCAGUCUCGGGAGAUUCGAUGUUUCUAAAUUCCCGUAAAUGCCAUUUGCCAAAUUUUCUCGUAGAUAUCGUUCGUGAAAUUCGCAGAAACGUGAAAUUUUACAAAAAACUUUUUUCCUAUACCGAUGCUACUUGAUCCAUUACUAUUCCACCAUUGCUGUUAAUCGAUAAAAUGGAAUAUAUGUGCCAUCGCAAAAUACAGUCUCGAAAGGCUUUUAACACUGCCAAAGCUGCAUAAAUUUAUCCGCCGAGAAACUUCAAUAUCCCGUGAAAUUUCAAAGUUUCGGUCGAUGUAUAAAGCGAAAAGCAGAGAAUCCUAGAAUAGUCGCCAUCUGUUUAUGAACAUUUUGCAUCAACGUUGCUAGCGAACAGGCGACUUAAUAGCAGGUAGAUACAUUUCAGGAAAAGUCUGGAGAACAGUUGCAAGUGUAUACCUGUGUAUGCAUUAUCAGUAGCCGCGUAGAUGGCGCGACUCGCCCUUGAAAAAUAGUCUCGACGAGACACGAGGCGAGAAGAGGUUACACUUUCUCCGAAUCGUGGACCGGCGUUCGAGCACGUUCUGGCUCGGCGCCAACUUCACUCGAAAAGUGGAGGAGACACACCGCGCUUGCGAUGGGCUCAAGCACGCGUUGAACUUGAUCCCAUCGCUACACGUUCAACGAAGCUGGGGAGCAACUGUGGCGAAUUUUCUUGGCGAAUGCAUCGGCCUUGGGACGAGGGUUCGUGUGCACCGAGCGGAUAAAUUCGCGCGUUAACUCCACGAGCUUCUGUAUCGUGAGCAUGCGACCGCGAUCUUCAGCUACUCAACUUGAUUGCCUUCUGCCGCAUAGAAAAGGAUAAUAGAUUUUUCCAUCGAGCUUCGUCGAUGCUUCUUCCCAGAUUAUCCGACAUUGGAAUACAUAUACAUACGCUCUUCUUUCUCCACGAUAAACUAAGCUGCUCCGUGUCGCCUUAGAUUACGAACAUAAUAGACCCGUUUGCUGACAAACGCAGCGCUCUCAGUACCUCGGAACAAUCAAACACACAGAGCAGAUUUUUAAUAUCAAAAGGUUAUAUGGUAGAUUCUAAACAUCGAAAUAACGGAGAAAUAAUCGCGUACAAAAGUAUCGAUCGAGGCUUAUUUUUCAAUUUACAUGGAAGAAAUUCGUUGAUCGAAAAUGUCGAUGAAUUUGAACGAGCAAAUGUUUAGGAAUAUCACAGUCAAAUUGUUCGUCGUGGAAUAUAAAAGAAAAGGAAUAAAAUUAUAUUUAACGCUAAAA